UCUAAUACAGAGGAUACAUUCCCAUUCAUAUCAUCCGCAUCGGGUAAUUCGUCUUCAACAUAGAGUGGUUGCGUCCGUGCGGUGCUAUUCGAACCUUUCUUUUAACUAAUACUUCAACAUCUAUUUUGCCAAGAUGAAAGUGACUACGGGAUGUUUCAUUCUGGUAGCAUCAGUAACGGUAUUGGGAAUACUUCUGGAAUAUUUCAGUACUAAUGGUGAAGUAGUACCAUGCAGUACGAGUCGGAAACUGUUGCAUGCUUACGGGAGAGGAUCUUGCAGAAUGAUGACCAGGUCGUUAGAGUUUAGGCCCUUUAAUCAUACGGAUUUUAACCGUGAUCAUAUGGUCACUUCAUAUGUGAGAAAUGCUUCAAGGAUGUUAGCAGGCCUUCCGAAAGAAUCCUCAGAGAAAGAUGUUUCGUACGAUGUAUGUCAAAAAGCUACCUUAAUCACACCACAUUCCCAUCCCCUGACUGCCUUGGCUAGUUUUCCUGGAUCUGGAAAUACUUGGAUGCGAUAUCUCCUGGAAAGAGCGUCCGGAUUUUACACCGGGAGCGUAUACUAUGACAAAGGGCUUUACAACGGAGGUUUUAAAGGAGAAGCUGAGAGACCUAAAAUGGGAACUACUCUUACCGUGAAAACCCAUGAGUUGGGAUGGCAGAUAUCUUCCAAGAUCUUUAAAAAAGCGGUACUGAUUGUACGGAAUCCCUAUGAUUGUUUGCUAGCCUAUGCUAACUUUAGAGCUAAAGGUCAUACAGGGUUUGCAUCACGCCAGUACUUCAAAUC